rnacentral:rRNA from 1 species
GGAAGGUGCAAGCGUUAAUCGGAAUUACUGGGCGUAAAGCGCGCGUAGGCGGCUAGAUAAGUCGGGUGUGAAAGCCCUGGGCUCAACCUGGGAACCGCAUUCGAUACUGUCUAGCUAGAGUGUGGUAGAGGGAGGCGGAAUUCCGCAUGUAGCGGUGAAAUGCGUAGAGAUGCGGAGGAACACCAAUGGCGAAGGCAGCCUUCUGGACCAACACUGACGCUGAGGCGCGAAAGCGUGGGGGGGAGCAAACAGGAUUAGAUACCCUGGUAGUCCACGCCGUAAACGAUGUCAACUAGCCGUUGGGAGCAUUUUGGCUCUUGGUUGGCGCAGCUAACGCGAUAAGUUGACCGCCUGGGGAGUACGGUCGCAAGAUUA